UGAUAGCAAAGAAGCAUAAGGUUGCUGCAACGGAAAAUACAUAAUCCCUGCAGGUUUUUAUGUGGAGCGAAUGUCAAGUUAGUAAACUGACGACAA
ncrna:unclassified sequences S10-Clostridia ribosomal protein leader